CGGGCGGCGCAGCUUAGGUUGGGGGCUGCAGAAAGGUGAAACGAUUUCGGAAAUUGGAGCUUAGAGUGCGGUGAUGAAAACUUGGACGUGGGGAACGCGCCGCCGGGCCGCCACGUGUCCCGAGUCGUGGUGGCGCCCGGCUUCGAGCGUAGGCGUGCGGAGGCGGCAGCUGGUGGCCGCGGCGCUGCGCGCGGCCUGGUUGUUACGCCCGGGCAGCCCCUGACUGAACCUGGGAGGCGGCCGGCAGAAGACAACAUUCCUGGGAUUUGGGGGCGGGGGGUUACCCUUAACGUUAAGAGCGAGAGUCCUGUGAUAGGGUGUCUUUCUCCCAUGGCCAGAUCAACAGUUAUUUCAAAACGGGCAGCCCCGGACUCGGCGUGAGACUGAGUUGUAUUGUGCCGAGGUGGCGCUGUGUGCAAAUAGGAUUAUUGAAGGGGAGGAGUUUAGUGCUGAAAACCUUGAACUAUGACAUUCUGUGAGAAUACUUAAUUUUAAAUAGAUGCCCCGCAAGAACAAUGGCUUUCGGUGUAACGGAGCUGUUAUGUGGAGAGGCAGAGAUGCAAAGGAAAGUUCCAAAACGUAUGGGAGGUUUGCUGGAAAAUGACUUGGUUAAAACUUGACAAUCUUACCAGGAGCAUCCUGCAGGUCGAUGAAUACUAAUGAAGCUAUGACCAUCACCGAUUGAUGAUAAACAGCUUCAUUUGAAAUGACGGGGUCGCUGUCUGCCUAUUGAAAGAGGCCAGUUUGCCAUGAAGUUCCUAAGGUGUAAACAUGUCUGGCUAGUGCCACGAGAUUUACUUGUCUGUUGUAUGAAAAACUGGUGAUCAGGAAAAGCUCUUCAUUUUAUGGACACGGAAAGAAAACAAAACUCAAGACAUUAUUUAAUUUUGAAACUGCAUUUGUAAAUAGAUUACUGAGCCAACAUCAAAUCUAGAUUAAUGCAUCCAUAAGAUUCAAGCCAUUUCUGUUUAAUCUUGUCACUGCCCUAGAGUCAUAACCUGUUAGCCAGUAUAUUAUUGAUACUUUCUAGCUCUGAAACUGUUUUUAAUGGAAAACUCUUUUUCAGUUGUUCAGCCUUGUAAUUAAAUAAUUCUGAGUGAAUGUUUAGCCUUUGGUCACCUGUCUGAAUUUAAAAUGCAUAAUUGUAAAUACAGCCAAGUGAGAGUUUAUACUAUUGUAGGAAAAUCCUUAGAAGGGAGAGAUGACUGGGUUUGGCGCUCACAAGGAUCACAAGGGGAUAUGGAAAACCUUGGCUUUGUGCAGGGUACUAAGUAUUACAGAAUUACUGGAGGUGAGGGCAGAGGAGAGAGACAGGACCUAUGGGGUGAGGGGAGGGAAAGCCAGGCAUCAAAACGAUCCAGUAUACUGGCUGAAUUGUGGAAUAUUUAGUCCUAGUAUAAUAGUAAUGUGAAGGGUUAUUUAUGCUAAAAAUGGGGAGGAGUAAUGCUGAAAAUUAAGGAAGAGAGCACAGCAUAACAGUCAGGAGCCAUGAGGGAAGGUCACUGAUAAAAUCUGGGUUAAAACUGGUCAAACAUUGUACAGAAUGGAUUAGUGUAAACAGUAAUAGCAUCUGAUCUAACCAAGGUGGUUGGGCUCCGUGCAUAAUCAUUUUCCCUAAGUAGCUGCAUGAAUAAAUUGUUCCCAAGCCCAUAUUUAAAUGUCAAAGUCAGAGUGCCAAUAUUCUUGUCACCUUAUAAUGAACUCUGUUUCUUAAAAUGUUCACCUGCCUUGGUGAGAAUUCAGUUGGGUCCAUGCAGCUCAGUCAGGUUCAUGAGACUGAUAAGCCUGUAAGUGGUCAGGCACAUAGUGAAUUUGGCCCAAGUGUUAAGACAGUGUACAAAAACUGGGGCUCUGAAAAUGUUUCUAGCAGUCCGUGUACAGCAUUGUUACAUUGUUCUUUAUUGCACUCAGUGUAUUUGGAAAUGAGGAAACUUUGGCACUGCAAUCUGCACCGUUGAUCACUGAUCUCCCUUACCCUGCUUUAUUUGGUUGGAACUUUUACAACAUGCUCGAUAAGAUCUGUUUCACACACUGACAUCUUAAGUACCUAGAUACCUUAACUACCUGGCACUUGGUUGUCAGUAAAUGUUAAACGAACAAUGAAUGAUUAAAGACCAAUUGGGAUCUACACAAAACUUGCAGAGAAAACUGCCCUUUUGUCAAAGUUGGCAAACAUCAGUCACUUCAAAACAAGGCAUGAAAUGAAUAAAACUUGGCUUUAGAGCCCUCUGACCUCUUUUCCCUCAGUCCCUUCUGGUUUUGCUCCUUUCCCUCCCAGUCAGUCUUAUAAUAUUUCCUUAGUUGAUAGAAUCCAAAUAAUGUACAUAUACUUCAUUGCACUAUACUAGGUCCUGCCGGGGAGGUCAAGGGUAAAACAUUUCCUAUGUCCUCUGUCACAUCAAUAGUUGUACGAGAUACCAAGAAAGAAGGCAAGAUACAGGGAUGCAAAGAACUGAGAAGAUUGAACAAGUGAUACAUUUAGGUGUAGGAGACACCAACCAAAGAUGGUAUGCUGAGGGCGGUAAAUUGAGAAUUUAGGCAUCAGUUGGAUGGAUAGAUGUGGGACAAAUAAGGUGGAGGAUAAGACUGAAAUGCUACAGUACCGCAAGCUUUUUGAGCAACAGAGAACUAAAAAAGUAUCAUUCAAAUUCCCUGAAACUUGACAUGUUUUCAGUAGGAAGAGACAUAGUCACUUAUUGAGCCCUACUGAUUUUGCAGGGUACACACUUGACAAGAGAUGAGAGUUGGGUCCAGAAAGGUACAAUUUUAGUGGAACUUAGCUCAACAUAGCAGCUUCCUUUUAAAUUACCGAUUGAUUAGUAGCACUUUUCUUUCGCACAACAGAGGUCUUGUUAUCCUCUACGGCCUUCUGAUUUGUGAAUGCUGACCUAGCUGGACAAUAGGCAACUAACUACUAGCUAAGACCAGGGACCUUAAGCUGUUAUCUGGGUAAGGGAUUUACCUUCCAGAGCAUAUCUGCAAAAAGAGGCAGCGUAGAUUAAAAAUCAAAAGCCUAAAGACAUAAACGAAUAGGACUGAAAUAGACCAGGAUCUGCUUGGUUAGGGCUGGUUUCAGAUUGAAAGCAGAUUCUACAUGUGUGUGACUUGAGCCAAUAAUUUUCCCUGCAUAACACCAUGCCUCCAGGUUAUCUUAAAAUACAGUAGGCUCAAUCCUACCUUUUGGUGUUUUCUAAAUUAGUUCUAUUGCUAGAAAUCCAAUAUCCAUUGCACUGUGCUUCCCAGUCAGGUGCCCUCUGAACUGAUUAUACACUUCAUAACCCUUGCUGUUUGCCCAGCCUGUGUGAAAGCUUUUGGCUGUUUCAUGAUUUUUAAACCAGUUCACCCAUUAAAUUUAGAGCCUUUGAAUCCCAGCCUACUAGGAUAGUCUGCUUAUCUUUUGUCAAUUCCUGCUCCCUGGGGGUGGGACCCUCCUUCCCAUAUUUCUUCCCAAAAGCUUGGUUCCAGAUCCAGAUAGUAUUUAAAGCAUGGUAUUUAUAAUUACCUCACUGAAUAUUGCCACUGCCUCCAGCAUUGUUCCACCUCACUGAUUCUACAUUUUGGGGUAUGUACAGAAAUGAGGUCAAAAUAUAAGUGUGCCAUGAAGCUUUGAAAAUUUUAUGGACCAUUUUGAGGUGGGGCAGGAAGGGUACCUUUCUAAUAUGAGAACCACUCAGUCUCAUUCUCAUAAGUCUUGACCUCUUCCCCCUGACCACUAGUCAGUCCAUCUCUGAGGUCCUGGCAUGCCAUGCAGCUGAGUUAUAACAGGAAAUAGAUUUAAUCUCACAGAAUCCCACAUGGAGUACAGUAUGAUCCAACGUACUUGGGAACUUUACCUUAGUUAUGCUUACUCAGUUGAUUAUAGUUCCUUUCAAAGGAGUAUUAACAAUGCAAAAAGCAUUUCAGAAUUCUCAUAGAAUUCAUCAUUUGAAGAAAAUAUUUAUAAAUACAGUACAUUACCGAGGUCAGGAAACUGGAUGUGCCCUUGCCUCCUAACUACUGAAUACAGUUACAGAACAAUAAAUGGUUCAUUUUUAAAGUGUA